rnacentral:rRNA from 1 species
UGGGGAGACACGGGAUUGCCUCAGUAACGGCGAGUGAAGCGGCAGCAGCUCAAAUUUGAAAGCUGGCUCCUUCGGGGCCCGCGUUGUAAUUUGUAGAGGAUGCUUCGGGCGUGGUGCCGGUCUAAGUUCCUUGGAACAGGACGUCAUGGAGGGUGAGAAUCCCGUAUGUGACUGGUGGCCUACGCCCGUGUGAAGCUCCUUCGACGAGUCGAGUUGUUUGGGAAUGCAGCUCUAAAUGGGUGGUGUACUUCAUCUAAAGCUAAAUAUGGGGCCUAGACCGAUAGCGCACAAGUAGAGUGAUCGAAAGAUGAAAAGCACUUUGGAAAGAGAGUUAAACAGUACGUGAAAUUGUUGAAAGGGAAGCGCUUGCAAUCAGACUUGCGCCGCGCCGAUCAGCCCGGGUUCUCCCUGGUGCACUCGGCGCGGCUCAGGCCAGCAUCAGCUCCGGCGGCUGGAUAAAGGCCUAGGGAACGUGGGUCGCCUCGGCGAUCGUUAUAGCCCUAGGUGCAAUGCAGCCUGCUGGGGCUGAGGACCGCGCUUCGGCUAGGAUGCUGGCGUAAUGGUUGCAAGCGACCCGUCUUGAAACACGGACCAAGGAGUCUAACAUCUAUGCGAGUGUUUGGGUGCAAAACCCCUGCGCGGAAUGAAAGUGAACGGAGGUGAGAACCCCUGAGGGCGCAUCAUCGACCGAUCCUGAUGUCUUCGGAUGGAUUUGAGUAGGAGCAUAGCUGUUGGGACCCGAAAGAUGGUGAACUAUGCCUGACUAGGGUGAAGCCAGAGGAAACUCUGGUGGAGGCUCGUAGCGGUUCUGACGUGCAAAUCGAUCGUAUAAGUUGGGUAUAGGGGCGAAAGACUAAUCGAACCAUCCAACCG